UUGUGUUGCCUUCUGGGAGUGGGCGGGCAACGCUGUGGGCACUCUGGCCUUCCUCUGGGCUACCGUCGUCUUGCUCGGCGGGUUCAGCUCUCUGCUGAGCCGCAUGGAUUUCUGGUUUGCCACGGUCAUGAUUUUCGUGGAAGGCUCCAGGGUUUUUAUCCGCAACGAUGCCUCGGUCAACCAGUGGUUAUUCGGCUCCACAAGCGCAUUCAGAUGGGAAAAUCUCUCUUCCAGUGACGUGUUAGCG